rnacentral:tRNA from 1 species
ACCUAAAAAGUUCUUUAAACACAAAGG